rnacentral:rRNA from 1 species
CGCGUAGGCGGCUCGCUAAGUCGGGUGUGAAAACUCUGGGCUCAACCCAGAGCCUGCAUUCGAAACUGACGGGCUAGAGUUCUGGAGGGGAAAGCGGAAUUCCUGGUGUAGCGGUGAAAUGCGUAGAUAUCAGGAGGAACACCGGUGGCGAAGGCGGCUUUCUGGACAGAAACUGACGCUGAGGCGCGAAAGCUAGGGGAGCAAACA